rnacentral:rRNA from 1 species
UUGGGCUACACGCGGGCUACAAUGGGUGGGACAAUGGGUAUCGACACCGAAAGGUGAAGGCAAUCUCCUAAACCCAUCCGUAGUUCGGAUUGUGGGCUGCAACUCGCCCACAUGAAGCUGGAAUCUGUAGUAAUCGUGUUUCAAAAUAGCACGGUGAAUAUGUCCCUGCUCCUU